rnacentral:SRP_RNA from 1 species
GCCAGGCAUGGUGAUGCAUACCGUUAAUCCCAACUAUCAAGGAAGCUGAAACUGGUGAUCUCUUGAGCUCAGGAGUUCUGAGCAACAGAGGCCUAUGCAUAUUAGGUGGCCUUGUUAUGGUCAACAUCAAUAUGGGGGGGGGGAGCAGGAAGCAAAUUGCUAAGUUGUCAAAGGAAGGAGCAAACUGCUCCAUGCUGGAAAAGUCAAAGCCCUCACGCUGAUCAAUAGUAGAAUCAGGCCCAAGAAUAGCCCCUGCACUUCAGGCUUGGGCAAGACAGAGAGAUCCAAUUGCU